rnacentral:rRNA from 1 species
UGGGUAACGUACCCCGAUGACUGGGACAACCCGGGGAAACCCGGGCUAAUACCGGAUGUGCCCCCUCACAUCAGUGAGGUGUGUAAAGGAAGCUUCGGCCUCCGCAUCGGGAUCGGCCUGCGGCCCAUUAGCUUGUUGGUGAGGUAACGGCUCACCAAGGCUGCGAUGGGUANCUGGUCUGAGAGGACGAUCAGCCACACUGGGACUGAGACACGGCCCAGACCUCCGUACGGGGAGGNAG